rnacentral:lncRNA from 1 species
GAGGAGACAGAGAUUAUGAUCCUGCUGCCGUCACAAUGUGAGGGAACAGUUGUCCCUGAGGUACUUGGGGGGGAAGCUGAGCCAAGGUUCUUUCUCUACCCCCACUUGUCAGUCUCCUGUUACUUGUUGUUUCUUCUACUGCAGGCAAGGAAAGUUCCUGACCUCUCUCAGGACACUUGAAAAGCUGCCUGGUGGAACCCAGUGGCAAGUUCUGACAUAGAAACAGUGGAUUCCCUUUGGACAUCAAUGUCUGUGGAUUUAUGCUUUUGGCUGUGGACACAAUGGGGAAAUCUGAAGAGCCCAGCCCACCCCUGUACUCCAGGACCCUGUCUGUGCACUGCCUGUCUUCCCUGGCAUAGCCAACCUUAGACAGCAGAAGACAUCUGCAUCCAGUCAGCGCCAUGUUGCCCUGGGCUGCAGCUCCUCACUUCCACACAGAAAUAAGGAUCUGAAUGUGAACUCCUUGACCUGAGCCGUUCACUGGUGGGGAAGUUACUGGAUUGAGAACACUCAGAGUAUUGCGAAGGAAAUAAAUGGCAGAUGGAGAACCU